CAGUCUCAGGCGUUGUCUGUGGUACGUCAGCGAGUUGUGCCCGUCUGUGAGGUCCUGAGAUCUCCGUCUAUCACAGUGUCACAAUUACAUGCGAGUGUGUGUGCAUGUGUGGGCGCUCAGGACUUGGAGGCCGACUUGCCUUUCUGGACCUCGGCGGGACGGGCACAGCACAGUCUCAGCCUUCGGUCUGGUGACUUCUCCCAGCACUCGGCACCCACGGAUCCUCCCAAGGAAAGCAAAUGACUUCCUCAUGUCCUCGGAAAGGUCCCUAGUCCGUUAACCUACCUCCUCUCUCACAAGCCACAGCAAGUCUCAGGGGUACACAUUUCAGCCUGGGGCACGUUCCUGAGAGACUGGCCUGAGACAGGCAACCACAUCUUCCCGAGCCCUUUGCCAGCUCCUCUAUGGGAGCACCUCUCCCAUUGUGCCUUCGGGCACAACCCGUCAUUGGACCAGAGGGUUUAGGAACUCCUCAAGAGGGAGUAUUUCUGGAGAUCUCCCGGGGAAAGGUUCUCUUUCAGGACCUACACAGGUACAUACCGAAUCCCCAUAUACGCUGUGCUGUGUACUGAGCUCUAUUUUAUGAUUAUAUGUGGGAAAGUGGUGAUGCAUUUAGAAGGGAGACAUGAGACAGAUGGAGGAUCUGUGCUGCUAAAAUGAGCACGUGGUAUGAGGCCUAGGAAAGUGAAAAAAUCAGGACUGGUUGAUUUAUUAAUUAGCAUGGAGAAAUGACCGCAGACGAAAGCAGUCAAGCUGUGGAACCAACAAUCGGAGACCUAGGUAGUGUGUUGUAAGAUGCGGAUUAUGUGCUCCGAACGGUGUCUAGAAACUACAGAUUUAUAUGGGCUACAUUGGGAUGGGAAGGCUCCAGGCAGCAGGAGAGGGCUUUGCGUGAACUCAACGAAUAUUCCCUCAGCCGAGUGAGCUGGUUCUUACUGGCACAUUCACGUACCCGAGGAGAAAACUGAAGCACAAAAAUCAUCUGACGUCACCCAGCUGAGAGGAGGAAGAGCUGGUGUGUGAAUCCCAGCAGCAAAGGUGCAGCCCACAGACGCAACCACUGGCCGCAAUGCACAGCAGAUAAGUAGUGAUUGCUAGUGCUUCCCGCACAGGUAGAAGCAGCCCAGGGCGUUGGCCUGGGAUUGAGUGUGAAUGGGACAGGAACGAUUGGUGACCCAAGGACGAGGGAGACGUAGGCGAUUUGAGAAACGGGACGUGUGUGUUACAGGUUCUCACACGCCAGGCAUUGAAAGGAUCCAGCACGUGUCCGUCCACAGAACCAGUCAGAGGGACAAGCCUUAGAGACGAGUGUUGAAGGGGUUGGCAGAUCCUGGGACGGCAUUUACAUCAACAGCUCCAGGCUAUCUUCCUGUCUCCCCUCAUGUGGAUUAACUGCCCCAAACCAUCCCUUCACUGGUUGCUGGGCAAAGCCUGCAACCACUCUGUUGCCCUCUAGAUCUUUGUUAACCUGUUACCCCCAACCCAGCUCAACCACAAGCUCUCACUGAGUUUGUAAAUGAGCGGCAGCCAGACUCCGUGGAUAAGACACCCAUCUGGGCCAACGGCUGGGUCCUUAACACUGCCCAACUAUCAGGCUGUCUGCUUCUGGUGUCUUCCUUUCAUCCCCCGUAGUUUGGAAGUCAUUUUACUUUAUUUGGUUUCGCUGUUGCUCCAGAGUUCUAUUUGAGGCCUAUGAAGCCAUCUGUGACAGCUGCAGCUAGCCGCGAUAUUCCCAAUUUAUUAGUCAGCAUUCUGCAGACAACAGAACCGAUGGGAAUAUAUUACGAAGACUUUGGUUCAUACGUGUAUGGAGGCCGAGAAGUCCCGCGAUCUCCUAUCUACAAGCUGGAACGCCAGGAAAGACAGUGGGGUAACUCAGUCUGAGAAUGAAGGCCUGAGCACCUUCAAACCAGGGGAGUCAAUGAUAUGAAUCCCAGUCUAAGAGCAGGAAAAGUGGGGCACCUGGCUGGCUCGGUCACUAGGGCAUGACUCUUGAUCUCAGGGCCAUGAGGUCAAGCCGCACAGUGGGUGUGGAGCCUACUUAGAAAAGAAAUAGGAGCGGGAGGAGAUGAGAUGAAAUGUCCCGCCUCCAGUAGUGAGGCAGAAGGAAAGGGGACCAUUCUUCCUUCCUGUGCCUUUUGGUAUAUUCUGGCCCCCGGUGCCUGGGAUAAUGCUCACUCACAGCGGGCAAGGCAAACUACUUUCCUGAGUGACCGAUUCGAAUGCAAACCUCAUGCAGAAACAGCCUCCCAGACACAGCCAGAAAUAAUGUUUAACUCGGGCAUCCACGGACGGUCCAGUUGACACCAAAAAUUAACCAUCGCAGUAGUUGCGUGACAAUGUUUACACAAUAAAGCCUCACAACACCCCCGACCCGCCUGACAAAUGGGGGAAGGAUAGUGCCGGCACGAGAGGGUCUUUGCCAGGGGUGGUGUGCACUCUGUGAAGAUGGGAGGAGUAAGCAUGGAAGGCUUCCUGGAGGAGGACGCAUUUAGCCAAGUCAGGAUACACUAGGUGAGCCAGAUUUCCGAAGUGCGAGAUGACUGGAAACAAAGGAAAAGGUAUGUGCGAAGGUCUAACAAGGCGGGGGGGGGGGGGGUCGGCAUUGAGGGACAGACACGGAUGUACAAAGACAAAAAUAUGAACAAAUAUUUGAGUGAUUUAUUUGGACCUGGAAGUAUGGCGGUUUCCACUCGUAGACCUAAGAGAAUGGACAGUCUGCCUGUCAAUCACUGCAGGCCCUCCAAGCUGAUGUCUGAGGGCGGGGCCAUUGAAGGAUGGCAAGCACCCGGCAAUGAAGCCCUACCACGUGAGCAGGCCGAUGACGGUUUGGAUUGUGCAACGAGGCUUCCGUAGACCGUUCCCCUCAGUGAUGACGAAAUACGGCGGGUACUGUGGAUAUAUGGCGGGUACUGUGGAUAUAUGGCGGUUGACCAUGCUCCGAUCUCACAAGUGCUGUGUGAUUGGGUCCUCUGGCCCCAGCAACCACUUUCAGAAAUUGCUCUGGAUGAGGGAAGGAGGAAGUUUGCCCCAUCCACGCGUGUUGUGAGUUUCCAAGUGACCUGAUUUUCCUGCAGCGGUCCCAAGCUGACCUUCCACAGGUAAGGCUCUUUGUAGAUUUGUACCGUCAUCCCCUCCCUCAGGAUCUGUGAUGGGAACGUCCAGUUCCGGUCAGCCGGUGGGCCCGUAAUGAGAGGAGAGGACCCUGAACCGAGAGUCAAGACCAGCCAUACAGGUAAGAGCAACCUUAGGCUGUGUGAGGCCAGAGGUGUUGGGUGAAUAGCACUUGUCUCCUGUCCGCUGUACCUUUCUUCCAGAUGGUGUGGAAAUCCCAUCCCUGAGUCUCUAACAUGGGCGCUUCCCACAAGGUCGGGGUCACUCCCUAGACACUACUUGUUAACUCCGUGGUAGAGACUCCAUGUCUUGAGUCAAUUUCCUCAAGGAGUCAGCGGCAUCUUUCUUCCAGACCUUCUUCGUGUUCCUCUGCUUACUGUUGCGUGCCACUGUUACACACGCGUUGGCUUUAUUAGAAUACGCCAGAUGUCCGAAAGACCCUGAUCUUGAGCCUUGUUAUCCUUCUGGUAAUCGCUUUCUACUACCAUGCAGAAGCAGGAUGGACUGGAUGGGAUGGUCAGACACAAACUUCAGGAACUCCGAGAUUGUGGGAGCACUGCUCAGGUGCAUUUCUUCAGGUCUGAAUGUCACUUUUUUAAGUCACGGAUCUGAAUUAAUUGAAAGCCAGGAGUACCUACCUAGGCGAGGCGAGAAAGAUGAGACCUGUACACCAAGUGGGUGCCAGAGGGUGACAGUCUCCCGGCCCACCCCCGCUGGGGUGGGUGGGCGGGCAUUUAUGUGGCAGCCGUCCUAGAAGCACAGGCUAACGGUUCGAGCAACAUGUGGGUCAAUACUUCUUUGCAGGUUUCCCCUUCCGUACAUUCUAGCUAUUUUUUGGCUUUGCAGAUGUUGCCGAGACCGUGUCACCCAUCGUGUUUCGUUCACAAUACGUUUCCAGUAUGGGAGUCUGAAAGACCCUCGGCCCUUUCUUCCUGUCAUCUCUGAGCCUCAGCUUCCACAUCUGCAAAAUGGAAAUGACACCUUGCUCUUGCUCUCAGGCGUGGUGUGAAAGUCAAGCGUGAUCGUCUUUAGGAAGUGCUCAGCACACAGGAGGGCCAGCAACUAUUCUCAGAGGGUCUUGGGCAUCUCUUUGGAAAUGGACCUCUCUAACUCUGCUGUGAUGCCAGGAGGUAGCCCAGCAUCCCAGACCCUGCCUUUCUCUGAGCUGCAUUCUUUCCUGGCUGCCUUGGACGUCUGACAUGGAAGCUGAUGUCACUCAGCGUCAAGUUGGGGCUGGAGGGUGCUUGGUAACUGGCAGUGCCCAAAGGUCUCCUGUCUUUCCUUCUCUGUAUAAAGUUACUUCUUUGCUGGGCAGGGGUUAAUUUGGUGAAAAUCAGGUGAAGACGUUGACGGUUGGGUGUGAGAGUGUUAAGCAUAAAGACGAAUGGCUCUAAGGUGCAUUCAAAGACCCUCGGGACCUCUAGAGUCAGACACACCUCUGGUUCCUCUGUUGCUUUGUUCGCACCAGUUUUAUCCAGAAGGUGGCAUCGCAGAGCCUGAUGUGCACUGCCCAAAGUCCAAAGGAUCCACAUUUGUUUGUGGUUAGACACUAACGUAUGUAGCCUUUCCACAGCAUGUUGACAUUUCAGAGACUUUUCCUUUAUCCCUAUACUUGGUUCAGUUACUUUCAAGCCGUGGGAGAUGGGGGUCAUUACGACUUCCUACCCAGUGAAAACCUGAGACCUGAGGUACUUAGAAAACUCUGUGCCCCAACACAUGUUCCUUCCCCAGGCGGGAGGUACAAAAGUGAACAAGAAUGGCUUGUUUGCUUGUCAAAAGCAGUUGUACAACUUAACGACUGUGAUGCCUCCUCCUUCUUGCACAUACACUGGUGCGCGCCCACUGCCCAUCAAAGUCAUGUUGGGUCAUUUCAUUGGGGGGAGGGAUGGGGAAGACGUAGAUGAAUGUUUUAUGGGUAAGUCUUCUGAGUACUGGCACUUAACAAAAUAAGUCCCAAGGUUGACGCUUCCAAAAGGGUGACUGUUUAACUGGUGGCAUCUCAAACUCAGCACCCUGAGGGAAAGACAAGGUGACCCUCCCAAUUUAAGGUGGGAUCUGGCUUGGUGGCUCUUUCCCAGGAGUCCACUCUGGAGCCUGCCACAUCAGUUGCAUUAUGAGGCCUGUACUCAAUGAAUGUGUACUUCCCAGCGGGGAUGUUAAUGAGUUAUGAAUUCUUGGUGUGAAGUAUUUCAUGUCAAACCCUGUUAGCCUGAAGUGGAUUUUCAUUCCUCUUAUGUAUGUCGGUGACAGAAAGGGAAUGGAUAUCGAACACCUGAAGGUAAGGCCUUUGCACCUGUGCUGCCGAAGGAGCACGAGGUAAGGCCUUUGAAAUGGAGUGGAUUCGUUGUCACACCGGUUCCCUGUUAUAGGCGCACGUUUCCACGGAUGAGUAUUAUUUCAUUGGAUACAUGUACCACAUUUCCUUUAUCCAUUUAUACUGUUGAUGGAUGCUCACAAGUCUCUCAUGUCAUACAUGGUGAGAAUAAUACUGUAGUGAGGAUAUGGAAUGAGUAUGUGUCUUUGACAUAGUGGCUUCCUGUCGUUUACAUAAACGCCCAGAUACGGGAUUGAUACAUCAUAUAGGAGCUCAAUUAUUAAUUUUUUGAGAGGCCAUCCUACUGUUCUCCUUAGUGCUACCCAGUGUGGGGCUGUCAGGUUGUCAGACUCCCUUUACAAAGAAGCUGAAAGAGUACGUCUACCAUGCAGAGCAAUGGCCAACUAGGAAUCACUGGGAAUCCUCAUGUCGUGUACGGGAAACUGGUUGCAUUGUAUCCACGCGUUUCCAUCAAAACUUCCUGCACUCUUCUGGUGAUCAUACCUUGCCCGUGGCAAGAAGACGAGCGGCGUGUGGGUGCUGUCAAUGAACCUUCCAUGAGGCAGGGGACGUUUAGAUUCUCACGGACAUGAGCUGAUGAGCUGGAUGUCCGGGAGUCUCCUGGGUCAGGUGUCCAGGGUGGAGGAUUCAUCGUUGGGCCUUUGUUUCUAUACGCCAUUUCGGGCCAUUCAUUUCUCCCAAUUAGUGAAACCUAGGGUCCAGAAGGGAUAUAUGAGUAAACUCUGGGAGUGUAAAGAGACUUGCAAGGGGGUGGGUAGUGUGUCUUAGUGUGAAAGUGUGGUAGGCAUUGUGGGUUCAGGGGCAAUGGCAGCAUCUGGCGACUGGGCAGAUAUUAGUUCCCCGGGAAGAAAUGGGUCAUGUCUGGUUCUCAGGCUUCCAAUACAAAGAAGCUAAAAGAGUUUGUCUAUCAUACAGAGCAAUGGCCUCCUAGGAAUCGUUACGAAUCCUCAUUUUGUGGAUGGCAAUGUGGUUGGAAUUGUAUCCACGCAUUUCCAUCUAAGCUUUCUGCACUCUUCUGCUGACCAUACUCUGCACAUGGCGGCAAGAGGAGCGGCGUGUGGGUGCUGUCAAUGAAGCUUCCAUGAGGCAGGGGACCUUUAGAAUAUCAAGGACAUUUGCUAAUGUGCCUUUGUGGUUAUCAGCCUCCAUUUUCAGGCUCUUGAUUUCACUUGAUUAGUGAAAUCUGGGGCCCACAAAGGCUCUGAGGACACCCUGGGAAGAGAAGGAAUCUUGACCUUGGGUGGGCCGAGGGACUUGGAGUGAAAGUUGUGGUAGGCAUUGUGGGUUCAGGGGUGUGUCCCCUGCCUUUGUCCCUUCUCACGCACUACCCUGGGGUCAGCAUAACUGGGGGCGAGAAGACAAUGGACAUUGGUGGAUGUGAUAUGAGACGCUAUGCCUGUCUUGUUGAGUUGACACGUUCAUUAGGAGAACAGGGUGUUGUUUUCCACGUUCCCCGUGGAGUGUGGGUUUGCCAGCAGGCACGGCUCUGCUGUUUCAUCCUUACUCUGUGGUACCAUGGGCCUGUGAGGGAAGGAAGGCCACGGGGUAGGGUGGGUCGUCCUUCCCCCUGCUGUCUUGUUGCAGGUGACAAUCACCUGAGGCCCUUCUGAGAAGGAGCUGCCGUUGCUUAUGCCUCUUUGAUCCUCCAGGGACAUUUUCUUCCCUUGUCCCGGAUGUGUGUUGGCUCUUGGGCACUGCUUGUGGUGUUUGCUUCCCCCUCCAUGUGUCAGGAGGCUGGGUUUUAAAACUGGCAAGAGGCUUGUUUAGCUUUUCAAAAGGUUUGCGAAGAGGCAGAGAGCGCUCAAUGACAAGUUUUCCAAAGUCCGUGUUCCCAGAGAAGGGAAGGGGGAGGUCGUGUCCCCCUUUGCAAUGGGGAUAGUUUAGCUCUUGUUUUGUAUUUUCUUUGCCCUGAUGCCAUGCUCCCAUGAGAGACCAGGCCCCAUUGGUACCUGCACCCCUUGGGACCUGCACCCUUGGUACCUGCACCUGCGUGGGUGCAGUCAGUGAACCUUCCAUGAGGCAGGGGACGUUUCGAUUCUCAUGGACAUGUGCAGAUGUUUCUGGAUGUCCGGGAACCUCCUGGGUCAGGUGUCCAGGUUAGAGGAUUAAUCCUUCCUAUUUUGUUUCCUUGUGAUGUUUCAGGCUCUUGAUUUCUCUUGAUUAAUGAAACCUGGGGUCUAGAAGGGAUAUGAGUAUUUACUGAAACUUGACAGCGGGGGUCGAGGGUCUUAAUGUGAACGUGUGGUAGGCAUUGUAGGUUCAGGGGCAAUGGCAGCCUCUGGGGCAUGACAGAUAUUAGAUCCCAGGGAAGAAAUGGGUCAUGUCUGGUUCUCAGGCUUCCAAUACAAAGAAGCUAAAAGAGUUUGUCUAUCAUACAGAGCAAUGGCCUCCUAGGAAUCGUUAGGAAUCCUCAUUUUGUGUAUUGGAAAGUGGUUGGAAUUGUAUCCAAGCCUUUCCAUCUAAGCUUUCUGCACUCUUCUGCUGACCAUACUCUGAACAUGGCGGGAAGACGCGCGGCGUGUGGGUGCUGUCAAUGAACCUUCCAUGAGGCAGGGGACGUUUAGAUUCUCACGGACAUGAGCUGAUGAGCUGGAUGUCCGGGAGUCUCCUGGGUCAGGUGUCCAGGGUGGAGGAUUCAUCGUUGGGCCUUUGUUUCUAUACGUCAUUUCGGGCCAUUCAUUUCUCCCAAUUAGUGAAACCUAGGGUCCAGAAGGGAUAUAUGAGUAAACUCUGGGAGUGUAAAGAAACUUGCAAGGGGUGGGUAGAGUGUCCUAGUGUGAAAGUGUGGUAGGCAUUGUGGGUUCAGGGGAAAUGGCAGCAUCUGGGGCAUGACAGAUAUUAGAUCCCAGGGAAGAAAUGGGUCAUGUCUGGUUCUCAGGCUUCCAAUACAAAGAAGCUAAAAGAGUUUGUCUAUCAUACAGAGCAAUGGCCUCCUAGGAAUCGUUACGAAUCCUCAUUUUGUGGAUGGCAAUGUGGUUGGAAUUGUAUCCACGCAUUUCCAUCUAAGCUUUCUGCACUCUUCUGCUGACCAUACUCUGCACAUGGCGGCAAGAGGAGCGGCGUGUGGGUGCUGUCAAUGAAGCUUCCAUGAGGCAGGGGACCUUUAGAAUAUCAAGGACAUUUGCUAAUGUGCCUUUGUGGUUAUCAGCCUCCAUUUUCAGGCUCUUGAUUUCACUUGAUUAGUGAAAUCUGGGGCCCACAAAGGCUCUGAGGACACCCUGGGAAGAGAAGGAAUCUUGACCUUGGGUGGGCCGAGGGACUUGGAGUGAAAGUUGUGGUAGGCAUUGUGGGUUCAGGGGCAAUGGCAGCAUCUGGCGACUGGGCAGAUAUUAGUUCCCCGGGAAGAAAUGGGUCAUGUCUGGUUCUCAGGCUUCCAAUACAAAGAAGCUAAAAGAGUUUGUCUAUCAUACAGAGCAAUGGCCUCCUAGGAAUCGUUACGAAUCCUCAUUUUGUGGAUGGCAAUGUGGUUGGAAUUGUAUCCACGCAUUUCCAUCUAAGCUUUCUGCACUCUUCUGCUGACCAUACUCUGCACAUGGCGGCAAGAGGAGCGGCGUGUGGGUGCUGUCAAUGAAGCUUCCAUGAGGCAGGGGACCUUUAGAAUAUCAAGGACAUUUGCUAAUGUGCCUUUGUGGUUAUCAGCCUCCAUUUUCAGGCUCUUGAUUUCACUUGAUUAGUGAAAUCUGGGGCCCACAAAGGCUCUGAGGACACCCUGGGAAGAGAAGGAAUCUUGACCUUGGGUGGGCCGAGGGACUUGGAGUGAAAGUUGUGGUAGGCAUUGUGGGUUCAGGGGUGUGUCCCCUGCCUUUGUCCCUUCUCACGCACUACCCUGGGGUCAGCAUAACUGGGGGCGAGAAGACAAUGGACAUUGGUGGAUGUGAUAUGAGACGCUAUGCCUGUCUUGUUGAGUUGACACGUUCAUUAGGAGAACAGGGUGUUGUUUUCCACGUUCCCCGUGGAGUGUGGGUUUGCCAGCAGGCACGGCUCUGCUGUUUCAUCCUUACUCUGUGGUACCAUGGGCCUGUGAGGGAAGGAAGGCCACGGGGUAGGGUGGGUCGUCCUUCCCCCUGCUGUCUUGUUGCAGGUGACAAUCACCUGAGGCCCUUCUGAGAAGGAGCUGCCGUUGCUUAUGCCUCUUUGAUCCUCCAGGGACAUUUUCUUCCCUUGUCCCGGAUGUGUGUUGGCUCUUGGGCACUGCUUGUGGUGUUUGCUUCCCCCUCCAUGUGUCAGGAGGCUGGGUUUUAAAACUGGCAAGAGGCUUGUUUAGCUUUUCAAAAGGUUUGCGAAGAGGCAGAGAGCGCUCAAUGACAAGUUUUCCAAAGUCCGUGUUCCCAGAGAAGGGAAGGGGGAGGUCGUGUCCCCCUUUGCAAUGGGGAUAGUUUAGCUCUUGUUUUGUAUUUUCUUUGCCCUGAUGCCAUGCUCCCAUGAGAGACCAGGCCCCAUUGGUACCUGCACCCCUUGGGACCUGCACCCUUGGUACCUGCACCUGCGUGGGUGCAGUCAGUGAACCUUCCAUGAGGCAGGGGACGUUUCGAUUCUCAUGGACAUGUGCAGAUGUUUCUGGAUGUCCGGGAACCUCCUGGGUCAGGUGUCCAGGUUAGAGGAUUAAUCCUUCCUAUUUUGUUUCCUUGUGAUGUUUCAGGCUCUUGAUUUCUCUUGAUUAAUGAAACCUGGGGUCUAGAAGGGAUAUGAGUAUUUACUGAAACUUGACAGCGGGGGUCGAGGGUCUUAAUGUGAACGUGUGGUAGGCAUUGUAGGUUCAGGGGCAAUGGCAGCCUCUGGGGCAUGACAGAUAUUAGAUCCCAGGGAAGAAAUGGGUCAUGUCUGGUUCUCAGGCUUCCAAUACAAAGAAGCUAAAAGAGUUUGUCUAUCAUACAGAGCAAUGGCCUCCUAGGAAUCGUUAGGAAUCCUCAUUUUGUGUAUUGGAAAGUGGUUGGAAUUGUAUCCAAGCCUUUCCAUCUAAGCUUUCUGCACUCUUCUGCUGACCAUACUCUGAACAUGGCGGGAAGACGCGCGGCGUGUGGGUGCUGUCAAUGAACCUUCCAUGAGGCAGGGGACGUUUAGAUUCUCACGGACAUGAGCUGAUGAGCUGGAUGUCCGGGAGUCUCCUGGGUCAGGUGUCCAGGGUGGAGGAUUCAUCGUUGGGCCUUUGUUUCUAUACGUCAUUUCGGGCCAUUCAUUUCUCCCAAUUAGUGAAACCUAGGGUCCAGAAGGGAUAUAUGAGUAAACUCUGGGAGUGUAAAGAAACUUGCAAGGGGUGGGUAGAGUGUCCUAGUGUGAAAGUGUGGUAGGCAUUGUGGGUUCAGGGGCAAUGGCAGCAUCUGGGCAUGACAGAUAUUAGAUCCCAGGGAAGAAAUAGGUCAUGUCUGGUUCUCAGGCUUCCAAUACAAAGAAGCUAAAAGAGUUUGUCUAUCAUACAGAGCAAUGGCCUCCUAGGAAUCGUUAGCAAUCCUCAUUUUGUGUACGGGAAUGUGGUUGGAAUUGUAUCCACGCGUUUCCAUCCAAGCUUUCUGCACUCUUCAGCUGACCAUACUCUGCACAUGGCGGGAAGAGGAGCGGCGUGUGGGUGCUGUCAAUGAACCUUCCAUGAGGCAGGGGACGUUUAGAUUCUCACGGACAUGAGCUGAUGAGCUGGAUGUCCGGGAGUCUCCUGGGUCAGGUGUCCAGGGUGGAGGAUUCAUCCUUGGGCCUUUGUUUCUAUACGCCAUUUCGGGCCAUUCAUUUCUCCCAAUUAGUGAAACCUAGGGUCCAGAAGGGAUAUAUGAGUAAACUCUGGGAGUGUAAAGAGACGUGCAAGGCGGUGGGUAGUGUGUCUUAGUGUGAAAGUGUGGUAGGCAUUGUGGGUUCAGGGGCAAUGGCAGCAUCUGGCGACUGGGCAGAUAUUAGUUCCCCGGGAAGAAAUGGGUCAUGUCUGGUUCUCAGGCUUCCAAUACAAAGAAGCUAAAAGAGUUUGUCUAUCAUACAGAGCAAUGGCCUCCUAGGAAUCGUUACGAAUCCUCAUUUUGUGGAUGGCAAUGUGGUUGGAAUUGUAUCCACGCAUUUCCAUCUAAGCUUUCUGCACUCUUCUGCUGACCAUACUCUGCACAUGGCGGCAAGAGGAGCGGCGUGUGGGUGCUGUCAAUGAAGCUUCCAUGAGGCAGGGGACCUUUAGAAUAUCAAGGACAUUUGCUAAUGUGCCUUUGUGGUUAUCAGCCUCCAUUUUCAGGCUCUUGAUUUCACUUGAUUAGUGAAAUCUGGGGCCCACAAAGGCUCUGAGGACACCCUGGGAAGAGAAGGAAUCUUGACCUUGGGUGGGCCGAGGGACUUGGAGUGAAAGUUGUGGUAGGCAUUGUGGGUUCAGGGGUGUGUCCCCUGCCUUUGUCCCUUCUCACGCACUACCCUGGGGUCAGCAUAACUGGGGGCGAGAAGACAAUGGACAUUGGUGGAUGUGAUAUGAGACGCUAUGCCUGUCUUGUUGAGUUGACACGUUCAUUAGGAGAACAGGGUGUUGUUUUCCACGUUCCCCGUGGAGUGUGGGUUUGCCAGCAGGCACGGCUCUGCUGUUUCAUCCUUACUCUGUGGUACCAUGGGCCUGUGAGGGAAGGAAGGCCACGGGGUAGGGUGGGUCGUCCUUCCCCCUGCUGUCUUGUUGCAGGUGACAAUCACCUGAGGCCCUUCUGAGAAGGAGCUGCCGUUGCUUAUGCCUCUUUGAUCCUCCAGGGACAUUUUCUUCCCUUGUCCCGGAUGUGUGUUGGCUCUUGGGCACUGCUUGUGGUGUUUGCUUCCCCCUCCAUGUGUCAGGAGGCUGGGUUUUAAAACUGGCAAGAGGCUUGUUUAGCUUUUCAAAAGGUUUGCGAAGAGGCAGAGAGCGCUCAAUGACAAGUUUUCCAAAGUCCGUGUUCCCAGAGAAGGGAAGGGGGAGGUCGUGUCCCCCUUUGCAAUGGGGAUAGUUUAGCUCUUGUUUUGUAUUUUCUUUGCCCUGAUGCCAUGCUCCCAUGAGAGACCAGGCCCCAUUGGUACCUGCACCCCUUGGGACCUGCACCCUUGGUACCUGCACCUGCGUGGGUGCAGUCAGUGAACCUUCCAUGAGGCAGGGGACGUUUCGAUUCUCAUGGACAUGUGCAGAUGUUUCUGGAUGUCCGGGAACCUCCUGGGUCAGGUGUCCAGGUUAGAGGAUUAAUCCUUCCUAUUUUGUUUCCUUGUGAUGUUUCAGGCUCUUGAUUUCUCUUGAUUAAUGAAACCUGGGGUCUAGAAGGGAUAUGAGUAUUUACUGAAACUUGACAGCGGGGGUCGAGGGUCUUAAUGUGAACGUGUGGUAGGCAUUGUAGGUUCAGGGGCAAUGGCAGCCUCUGGGGCAUGACAGAUAUUAGAUCCCAGGGAAGAAAUGGGUCAUGUCUGGUUCUCAGGCUUCCAAUACAAAGAAGCUAAAAGAGUUUGUCUAUCAUACAGAGCAAUGGCCUCCUAGGAAUCGUUACGAAUCCUCAUUUUGUGGAUGGCAAUGUGGUUGGAAUUGUAUCCACGCAUUUCCAUCUAAGCUUUCUGCACUCUUCUGCUGACCAUACUCUGCACAUGGCGGCAAGAGGAGCGGCGUGUGGGUGCUGUCAAUGAAGCUUCCAUGAGGCAGGGGACCUUUAGAAUAUCAAGGACAUUUGCUAAUGUGCCUUUGUGGUUAUCAGCCUCCAUUUUCAGGCUCUUGAUUUCACUUGAUUAGUGAAAUCUGGGGCCCACAAAGGCUCUGAGGACACCCUGGGAAGAGAAGGAAUCUUGACCUUGGGUGGGCCGAGGGACUUGGAGUGAAAGUUGUGGUAGGCAUUGUGGGUUCAGGGGUGUGUCCCCUGCCUUUGUCCCUUCUCACGCACUACCCUGGGGUCAGCAUAACUGGGGGCGAGAAGACAAUGGACAUUGGUGGAUGUGAUAUGAGACGCUAUGCCUGUCUUGUUGAGUUGACACGUUCAUUAGGAGAACAGGGUGUUGUUUUCCACGUUCCCCGUGGAGUGUGGGUUUGCCAGCAGGCACGGCUCUGCUGUUUCAUCCUUACUCUGUGGUACCAUGGGCCUGUGAGGGAAGGAAGGCCACGGGGUAGGGUGGGUCGUCCUUCCCCCUGCUGUCUUGUUGCAGGUGACAAUCACCUGAGGCCCUUCUGAGAAGGAGCUGCCGUUGCUUAUGCCUCUUUGAUCCUCCAGGGACAUUUUCUUCCCUUGUCCCGGAUGUGUGUUGGCUCUUGGGCACUGCUUGUGGUGUUUGCUUCCCCCUCCAUGUGUCAGGAGGCUGGGUUUUAAAACUGGCAAGAGGCUUGUUUAGCUUUUCAAAAGGUUUGCGAAGAGGCAGAGAGCGCUCAAUGACAAGUUUUCCAAAGUCCGUGUUCCCAGAGAAGGGAAGGGGGAGGUCGUGUCCCCCUUUGCAAUGGGGAUAGUUUAGCUCUUGUUUUGUAUUUUCUUUGCCCUGAUGCCAUGCUCCCAUGAGAGACCAGGCCCCAUUGGUACCUGCACCCCUUGGGACCUGCACCCUUGGUACCUGCACCUGCGUGGGUGCAGUCAGUGAACCUUCCAUGAGGCAGGGGACGUUUCGAUUCUCAUGGACAUGUGCAGAUGUUUCUGGAUGUCCGGGAACCUCCUGGGUCAGGUGUCCAGGUUAGAGGAUUAAUCCUUCCUAUUUUGUUUCCUUGUGAUGUUUCAGGCUCUUGAUUUCUCUUGAUUAAUGAAACCUGGGGUCUAGAAGGGAUAUGAGUAUUUACUGAAACUUGACAGCGGGGGUCGAGGGUCUUAAUGUGAACGUGUGGUAGGCAUUGUAGGUUCAGGGGCAAUGGCAGCCUCUGGGGCAUGACAGAUAUUAGAUCCCAGGGAAGAAAUGGGUCAUGUCUGGUUCUCAGGCUUCCAAUACAAAGAAGCUAAAAGAGUUUGUCUAUCAUACAGAGCAAUGGCCUCCUAGGAAUCGUUAGGAAUCCUCAUUUUGUGUAUUGGAAAGUGGUUGGAAUUGUAUCCAAGCCUUUCCAUCUAAGCUUUCUGCACUCUUCUGCUGACCAUACUCUGAACAUGGCGGGAAGACGCGCGGCGUGUGGGUGCUGUCAAUGAACCUUCCAUGAGGCAGGGGACGUUUAGAUUCUCACGGACAUGAGCUGAUGAGCUGGAUGUCCGGGAGUCUCCUGGGUCAGGUGUCCAGGGUGGAGGAUUCAUCAUUGGGCCUUUGUUUCUAUACGCCAUUUCGGGCCAUUCAUUUCUCCCAAUUAGUGAAACCUAGGGUCCAGAAGGGAUAUAUGAGUAAACUCUGGGAGUGUAAAGAAACUUGCAAGGGGUGGGUAGAGUGUCCUAGUGUGAAAGUGUGGUAGGCAUUGUGGGUUCAGGGGAAAUGGCAGCAUCUGGGCAUGACAGAUAUUAGAUCCCAGGGAAGAAAUGGGUCAUGUCUGGUUCUCAGGCUUCCAAUACAAAGAAGCUAAAAGAGUUUGUCUAUCAUACAGAGCAAUGGCCUCCUAGGAAUCGUUAGCAAUCCUCAUUUUGUGUACGGGAAUGUGGUUGGAAUUGUAUCCACGCGUUUCCAUCCAAGCUUUCUGCACUCUUCUGCUGACCAUACUCUGCACAUGGCGGGAAGAGGAGCGGCGUGUGGGUGCUGUCAAUGAACCUUCCAUGAGGCAGGGGACGUUUAGAUUCUCACGGACAUGAGCUGAUGAGCUGGAUGUCCGGGAGUCUCCUGGGUCAGGUGUCCAGGGUGGAGGAUUCAUCCUUGGGCCUUUGUUUCUAUACGCCAUUUCGGGCCAUUCAUUUCUCCCAAUUAGUGAAACCUAGGGUCCAGAAGGGAUAUAUGAGUAAACUCUGGGAGUGUAAAGAGACUUGCAAGGCGGUGGGUAGUGUGUCUUAGUGUGAAAGUGUGGUAGGCAUUGUGGGUUCAGGGGCAAUGGCAGCAUCUGGCGACUGGGCAGAUAUUAGUUCCCCGGGAAGAAAUGGGUCAUGUCUGGUUCUCAGGCUUCCAAUACAAAGAAGCUAAAAGAGUUUGUCUAUCAUACAGAGCAAUGGCCUCCUAGGAAUCGUUACGAAUCCUCAUUUUGUGGAUGGCAAUGUGGUUGGAAUUGUAUCCACGCAUUUCCAUCUAAGCUUUCUGCACUCUUCUGCUGACCAUACUCUGCACAUGGCGGCCAGAGGAGCGGCGUGUGGGUGCUGUCAAUGAAGCUUCCAUGAGGCAGGGGACCUUUAGAAUAUCAAGGACAUUUGCUAAUGUGCCUUUGUGGUUAUCAGCCUCCAUUUUCAGGCUCUUGAUUUCACUUGAUUAGUGAAAUCUGGGGCCCACAAAGGCUCUGAGGACACCCUGGGAAGAGAAGGAAUCUUGACCUUGGGUGGGCCGAGGGACUUGGAGUGAAAGUUGUGGUAGGCAUUGUGGGUUCAGGGGUGUGUCCCCUGCCUUUGUCCCUUCUCACGCACUACCCUGGGGUCAGCAUAACUGGGGGCGAGAAGACAAUGGACAUUGGUGGAUGUGAUAUGAGACGCUAUGCCUGUCUUGUUGAGUUGACACGUUCAUUAGGAGAACAGGGUGUUGUUUUCCACGUUCCCCGUGGAGUGUGGGUUUGCCAGCAGGCACGGCUCUGCUGUUUCAUCCUUACUCUGUGGUACCAUGGGCCUGUGAGGGAAGGAAGGCCACGGGGUAGGGUGGGUCGUCCUUCCCCCUGCUGUCUUGUUGCAGGUGACAAUCACCUGAGGCCCUUCUGAGAAGGAGCUGCCGUUGCUUAUGCCUCUUUGAUCCUCCAGGGACAUUUUCUUCCCUUGUCCCGGAUGUGUGUUGGCUCUUGGGCACUGCUUGUGGUGUUUGCUUCCCCCUCCAUGUGUCAGGAGGCUGGGUUUUAAAACUGGCAAGAGGCUUGUUUAGCUUUUCAAAAGGUUUGCGAAGAGGCAGAGAGCGCUCAAUGACAAGUUUUCCAAAGUCCGUGUUCCCAGAGAAGGGAAGGGGGAGGUCGUGUCCCCCUUUGCAAUGGGGAUAGUUUAGCUCUUGUUUUGUAUUUUCUUUGCCCUGAUGCCAUGCUCCCAUGAGAGACCAGGCCCCAUUGGUACCUGCACCCCUUGGGACCUGCACCCUUGGUACCUGCACCUGCGUGGGUGCAGUCAGUGAACCUUCCAUGAGGCAGGGGACGUUUCGAUUCUCAUGGACAUGUGCAGAUGUUUCUGGAUGUCCGGGAACCUCCUGGGUCAGGUGUCCAGGUUAGAGGAUUAAUCCUUCCUAUUUUGUUUCCUUGUGAUGUUUCAGGCUCUUGAUUUCUCUUGAUUAAUGAAACCUGGGGUCUAGAAGGGAUAUGAGUAUUUACUGAAACUUGACAGCGGGGGUCGAGGGUCUUAAUGUGAACGUGUGGUAGGCAUUGUAGGUUCAGGGGCAAUGGCAGCCUCUGGGGCAUGACAGAUAUUAGAUCCCAGGGAAGAAAUGGGUCAUGUCUGGUUCUCAGGCUUCCAAUACAAAGAAGCUAAAAGAGUUUGUCUAUCAUACAGAGCAAUGGCCUCCUAGGAAUCGUUAGGAAUCCUCAUUUUGUGUAUUGGAAAGUGGUUGGAAUUGUAUCCAAGCCUUUCCAUCUAAGCUUUCUGCACUCUUCUGCUGACCAUACUCUGAACAUGGCGGGAAGACGCGCGGCGUGUGGGUGCUGUCAAUGAACCUUCCAUGAGGCAGGGGACGUUUAGAUUCUCACGGACAUGAGCUGAUGAGCUGGAUGUCCGGGAGUCUCCUGGGUCAGGUGUCCAGGGUGGAGGAUUCAUCGUUGGGCCUUUGUUUCUAUACGUCAUUUCGGGCCAUUCAUUUCUCCCAAUUAGUGAAACCUAGGGUCCAGAAGGGAUAUAUGAGUAAACUCUGGGAGUGUAAAGAAACUUGCAAGGGGUGGGUAGAGUGUCCUAGUGUGAAAGUGUGGUAGGCAUUGUGGGUUCAGGGGCAAUGGCAGCAUCUGGGCAUGACAGAUAUUAGAUCCCAGGGAAGAAAUGGGUCAUGUCUGGUUCUCAGGCUUCCAAUACAAAGAAGCUAAAAGAGUUUGUCUAUCAUACAGAGCAAUGGCCUCCUAGGAAUCGUUAGCAAUCCUCAUUUUGUGUACGGGAAUGUGGUUGGAAUUGUAUCCACGCGUUUCCAUCCAAGCUUUCUGCACUCUUCAGCUGACCAUACUCUGCACAUGGCGGGAAGAGGAGCGGCGUGUGGGUGCUGUCAAUGAACCUUCCAUGAGGCAGGGGACGUUUAGAUUCUCACGGACAUGAGCUGAUGAGCUGGAUGUCCGGGAGUCUCCUGGGUCAGGUGUCCAGGGUGGAGGAUUCAUCCUUGGGCCUUUGUUUCUAUACGCCAUUUCGGGCCAUUCAUUUCUCCCAAUUAGUGAAACCUAGGGUCCAGAAGGGAUAUAUGAGUAAACUCUGGGAGUGUAAAGAGACUUGCAAGGCGGUGGGUAGUGUGUCUUAGUGUGAAAGUGUGGUAGGCAUUGUGGGUUCAGGGGCAAUGGCAGCAUCUGGCGACUGGGCAGAUAUUAGUUCCCCGGGAAGAAAUGGGUCAUGUCUGGUUCUCAGGCUUCCAAUACAAAGAAGCUAAAAGAGUUUGUCUAUCAUACAGAGCAAUGGCCUCCUAGGAAUCGUUACGAAUCCUCAUUUUGUGGAUGGCAAUGUGGUUGGAAUUGUAUCCACGCAUUUCCAUCUAAGCUUUCUGCACUCUUCUGCUGACCAUACUCUGCACAUGGCGGCAAGAGGAGCGGCGUGUGGGUGCUGUCAAUGAAGCUUCCAUGAGGCAGGGGACCUUUAGAAUAUCAAGGACAUUUGCUAAUGUGCCUUUGUGGUUAUCAGCCUCCAUUUUCAGGCUCUUGAUUUCACUUGAUUAGUGAAAUCUGGGGCCCACAAAGGCUCUGAGGACACCCUGGGAAGAGAAGGAAUCUUGACCUUGGGUGGGCCGAGGGACUUGGAGUGAAAGUUGUGGUAGGCAUUGUGGGUUCAGGGGUGUGUCCCCUGCCUUUGUCCCUUCUCACGCACUACCCUGGGGUCAGCAUAACUGGGGGCGAGAAGACAAUGGACAUUGGUGGAUGUGAUAUGAGACGCUAUGCCUGUCUUGUUGAGUUGACACGUUCAUUAGGAGAACAGGGUGUUGUUUUCCACGUUCCCCGUGGAGUGUGGGUUUGCCAGCAGGCACGGCUCUGCUGUUUCAUCCUUACUCUGUGGUACCAUGGGCCUGUGAGGGAAGGAAGGCCACGGGGUAGGGUGGGUCGUCCUUCCCCCUGCUGUCUUGUUGCAGGUGACAAUCACCUGAGGCCCUUCUGAGAAGGAGCUGCCGUUGCUUAUGCCUCUUUGAUCCUCCAGGGACAUUUUCUUCCCUUGUCCCGGAUGUGUGUUGGCUCUUGGGCACUGCUUGUGGUGUUUGCUUCCCCCUCCAUGUGUCAGGAGGCUGGGUUUUAAAACUGGCAAGAGGCUUGUUUAGCUUUUCAAAAGGUUUGCGAAGAGGCAGAGAGCGCUCAAUGACAAGUUUUCCAAAGUCCGUGUUCCCAGAGAAGGGAAGGGGGAGGUCGUGUCCCCCUUUGCAAUGGGGAUAGUUUAGCUCUUGUUUUGUAUUUUCUUUGCCCUGAUGCCAUGCUCCCAUGAGAGACCAGGCCCCAUUGGUACCUGCACCCCUUGGGACCUGCACCCUUGGUACCUGCACCUGCGUGGGUGCAGUCAGUGAACCUUCCAUGAGGCAGGGGACGUUUCGAUUCUCAUGGACAUGUGCAGAUGUUUCUGGAUGUCCGGGAACCUCCUGGGUCAGGUGUCCAGGUUAGAGGAUUAAUCCUUCCUAUUUUGUUUCCUUGUGAUGUUUCAGGCUCUUGAUUUCUCUUGAUUAAUGAAACCUGGGGUCUAGAAGGGAUAUGAGUAUUUACUGAAACUUGACAGCGGGGGUCGAGGGUCUUAAUGUGAACGUGUGGUAGGCAUUGUAGGUUCAGGGGCAAUGGCAGCCUCUGGGGCAUGACAGAUAUUAGAUCCCAGGGAAGAAAUGGGUCAUGUCUGGUUCUCAGGCUUCCAAUACAAAGAAGCUAAAAGAGUUUGUCUAUCAUACAGAGCAAUGGCCUCCUAGGAAUCGUUACGAAUCCUCAUUUUGUGGAUGGCAAUGUGGUUGGAAUUGUAUCCACGCAUUUCCAUCUAAGCUUUCUGCACUCUUCUGCUGACCAUACUCUGCACAUGGCGGCAAGAGGAGCGGCGUGUGGGUGCUGUCAAUGAAGCUUCCAUGAGGCAGGGGACCUUUAGAAUAUCAAGGACAUUUGCUAAUGUGCCUUUGUGGUUAUCAGCCUCCAUUUUCAGGCUCUUGAUUUCACUUGAUUAGUGAAAUCUGGGGCCCACAAAGGCUCUGAGGACACCCUGGGAAGAGAAGGAAUCUUGACCUUGGGUGGGCCGAGGGACUUGGAGUGAAAGUUGUGGUAGGCAUUGUGGGUUCAGGGGUGUGUCCCCUGCCUUUGUCCCUUCUCACGCACUACCCUGGGGUCAGCAUAACUGGGGGCGAGAAGACAAUGGACAUUGGUGGAUGUGAUAUGAGACGCUAUGCCUGUCUUGUUGAGUUGACACGUUCAUUAGGAGAACAGGGUGUUGUUUUCCACGUUCCCCGUGGAGUGUGGGUUUGCCAGCAGGCACGGCUCUGCUGUUUCAUCCUUACUCUGUGGUACCAUGGGCCUGUGAGGGAAGGAAGGCCACGGGGUAGGGUGGGUCGUCCUUCCCCCUGCUGUCUUGUUGCAGGUGACAAUCACCUGAGGCCCUUCUGAGAAGGAGCUGCCGUUGCUUAUGCCUCUUUGAUCCUCCAGGGACAUUUUCUUCCCUUGUCCCGGAUGUGUGUUGGCUCUUGGGCACUGCUUGUGGUGUUUGCUUCCCCCUCCAUGUGUCAGGAGGCUGGGUUUUAAAACUGGCAAGAGGCUUGUUUAGCUUUUCAAAAGGUUUGCGAAGAGGCAGAGAGCGCUCAAUGACAAGUUUUCCAAAGUCCGUGUUCCCAGAGAAGGGAAGGGGGAGGUCGUGUCCCCCUUUGCAAUGGGGAUAGUUUAGCUCUUGUUUUGUAUUUUCUUUGCCCUGAUGCCAUGCUCCCAUGAGAGACCAGGCCCCAUUGGUACCUGCACCCCUUGGGACCUGCACCCUUGGUACCUGCACCUGCGUGGGUGCAGUCAGUGAACCUUCCAUGAGGCAGGGGACGUUUCGAUUCUCAUGGACAUGUGCAGAUGUUUCUGGAUGUCCGGGAACCUCCUGGGUCAGGUGUCCAGGUUAGAGGAUUAAUCCUUCCUAUUUUGUUUCCUUGUGAUGUUUCAGGCUCUUGAUUUCUCUUGAUUAAUGAAACCUGGGGUCUAGAAGGGAUAUGAGUAUUUACUGAAACUUGACAGCGGGGGUCGAGGGUCUUAAUGUGAACGUGUGGUAGGCAUUGUAGGUUCAGGGGCAAUGGCAGCCUCUGGGGCAUGACAGAUAUUAGAUCCCAGGGAAGAAAUGGGUCAUGUCUGGUUCUCAGGCUUCCAAUACAAAGAAGCUAAAAGAGUUUGUCUAUCAUACAGAGCAAUGGCCUCCUAGGAAUCGUUACGAAUCCUCAUUUUGUGGAUGGCAAUGUGGUUGGAAUUGUAUCCACGCAUUUCCAUCUAAGCUUUCUGCACUCUUCUGCUGACCAUACUCUGCACAUGGCGGCAAGAGGAGCGGCGUGUGGGUGCUGUCAAUGAAGCUUCCAUGAGGCAGGGGACCUUUAGAAUAUCAAGGACAUUUGCUAAUGUGCCUUUGUGGUUAUCAGCCUCCAUUUUCAGGCUCUUGAUUUCACUUGAUUAGUGAAAUCUGGGGCCCACAAAGGCUCUGAGGACACCCUGGGAAGAGAAGGAAUCUUGACCUUGGGUGGGCCGAGGGACUUGGAGUGAAAGUUGUGGUAGGCAUUGUGGGUUCAGGGGUGUGUCCCCUGCCUUUGUCCCUUCUCACGCACUACCCUGGGGUCAGCAUAACUGGGGGCGAGAAGACAAUGGACAUUGGUGGAUGUGAUAUGAGACGCUAUGCCUGUCUUGUUGAGUUGACACGUUCAUUAGGAGAACAGGGUGUUGUUUUCCACGUUCCCCGUGGAGUGUGGGUUUGCCAGCAGGCACGGCUCUGCUGUUUCAUCCUUACUCUGUGGUACCAUGGGCCUGUGAGGGAAGGAAGGCCACGGGGUAGGGUGGGUCGUCCUUCCCCCUGCUGUCUUGUUGCAGGUGACAAUCACCUGAGGCCCUUCUGAGAAGGAGCUGCCGUUGCUUAUGCCUCUUUGAUCCUCCAGGGACAUUUUCUUCCCUUGUCCCGGAUGUGUGUUGGCUCUUGGGCACUGCUUGUGGUGUUUGCUUCCCCCUCCAUGUGUCAGGAGGCUGGGUUUUAAAACUGGCAAGAGGCUUGUUUAGCUUUUCAAAAGGUUUGCGAAGAGGCAGAGAGCGCUCAAUGACAAGUUUUCCAAAGUCCGUGUUCCCAGAGAAGGGAAGGGGGAGGUCGUGUCCCCCUUUGCAAUGGGGAUAGUUUAGCUCUUGUUUUGUAUUUUCUUUGCCCUGAUGCCAUGCUCCCAUGAGAGACCAGGCCCCAUUGGUACCUGCACCCCUUGGGACCUGCACCCUUGGUACCUGCACCUGCGUGGGUGCAGUCAGUGAACCUUCCAUGAGGCAGGGGACGUUUCGAUUCUCAUGGACAUGUGCAGAUGUUUCUGGAUGUCCGGGAACCUCCUGGGUCAGGUGUCCAGGUUAGAGGAUUAAUCCUUCCUAUUUUGUUUCCUUGUGAUGUUUCAGGCUCUUGAUUUCUCUUGAUUAAUGAAACCUGGGGUCUAGAAGGGAUAUGAGUAUUUACUGAAACUUGACAGCGGGGGUCGAGGGUCUUAAUGUGAACGUGUGGUAGGCAUUGUAGGUUCAGGGGCAAUGGCAGCCUCUGGGGCAUGACAGAUAUUAGAUCCCAGGGAAGAAAUGGGUCAUGUCUGGUUCUCAGGCUUCCAAUACAAAGAAGCUAAAAGAGUUUGUCUAUCAUACAGAGCAAUGGCCUCCUAGGAAUCGUUAGGAAUCCUCAUUUUGUGUAUUGGAAAGUGGUUGGAAUUGUAUCCAAGCCUUUCCAUCUAAGCUUUCUGCACUCUUCUGCUGACCAUACUCUGAACAUGGCGGGAAGACGCGCGGCGUGUGGGUGCUGUCAAUGAACCUUCCAUGAGGCAGGGGACGUUUAGAUUCUCACGGACAUGAGCUGAUGAGCUGGAUGUCCGGGAGUCUCCUGGGUCAGGUGUCCAGGGUGGAGGAUUCAUCAUUGGGCCUUUGUUUCUAUACGCCAUUUCGGGCCAUUCAUUUCUCCCAAUUAGUGAAACCUAGGGUCCAGAAGGGAUAUAUGAGUAAACUCUGGGAGUGUAAAGAAACUUGCAAGGGGUGGGUAGAGUGUCCUAGUGUGAAAGUGUGGUAGGCAUUGUGGGUUCAGGGGAAAUGGCAGCAUCUGGGCAUGACAGAUAUUAGAUCCCAGGGAAGAAAUGGGUCAUGUCUGGUUCUCAGGCUUCCAAUACAAAGAAGCUAAAAGAGUUUGUCUAUCAUACAGAGCAAUGGCCUUCUAGGAAUCGUUAGCAAUCCUCAUUUUGUGUACGGGAAUGUGGUUGGAAUUGUAUCCACGCGUUUCCAUCCAAGCUUUCUGCACUCUUCUGCUGACCAUACUCUGCACAUGGCGGGAAGAGGAGCGGCGUGUGGGUGCUGUCAAUGAACCUUCCAUGAGGCAGGGGACGUUUAGAUUCUCACGGACAUGAGCUGAUGAGCUGGAUGUCCGGGAGUCUCCUGGGUCAGGUGUCCAGGGUGGAGGAUUCAUCCUUGGGCCUUUGUUUCUAUACGCCAUUUCGGGCCAUUCAUUUCUCCCAAUUAGUGAAACCUAGGGUCCAGAAGGGAUAUAUGAGUAAACUCUGGGAGUGUAAAGAGACUUGCAAGGCGGUGGGUAGUGUGUCUUAGUGUGAAAGUGUGGUAGGCAUUGUGGGUUCAGGGGCAAUGGCAGCAUCUGGCGACUGGGCAGAUAUUAGUUCCCCGGGAAGAAAUGGGUCAUGUCUGGUUCUCAGGCUUCCAAUACAAAGAAGCUAAAAGAGUUUGUCUAUCAUACAGAGCAAUGGCCUCCUAGGAAUCGUUACGAAUCCUCAUUUUGUGGAUGGCAAUGUGGUUGGAAUUGUAUCCACGCAUUUCCAUCUAAGCUUUCUGCACUCUUCUGCUGACCAUACUCUGCACAUGGCGGCAAGAGGAGCGGCGUGUGGGUGCUGUCAAUGAAGCUUCCAUGAGGCAGGGGACCUUUAGAAUAUCAAGGACAUUUGCUAAUGUGCCUUUGUGGUUAUCAGCCUCCAUUUUCAGGCUCUUGAUUUCACUUGAUUAGUGAAAUCUGGGGCCCACAAAGGCUCUGAGGACACCCUGGGAAGAGAAGGAAUCUUGACCUUGGGUGGGCCGAGGGACUUGGAGUGAAAGUUGUGGUAGGCAUUGUGGGUUCAGGGGUGUGUCCCCUGCCUUUGUCCCUUCUCACGCACUACCCUGGGGUCAGCAUAACUGGGGGCGAGAAGACAAUGGACAUUGGUGGAUGUGAUAUGAGACGCUAUGCCUGUCUUGUUGAGUUGACACGUUCAUUAGGAGAACAGGGUGUUGUUUUCCACGUUCCCCGUGGAGUGUGGGUUUGCCAGCAGGCACGGCUCUGCUGUUUCAUCCUUACUCUGUGGUACCAUGGGCCUGUGAGGGAAGGAAGGCCACGGGGUAGGGUGGGUCGUCCUUCCCCCUGCUGUCUUGUUGCAGGUGACAAUCACCUGAGGCCCUUCUGAGAAGGAGCUGCCGUUGCUUAUGCCUCUUUGAUCCUCCAGGGACAUUUUCUUCCCUUGUCCCGGAUGUGUGUUGGCUCUUGGGCACUGCUUGUGGUGUUUGCUUCCCCCUCCAUGUGUCAGGAGGCUGGGUUUUAAAACUGGCAAGAGGCUUGUUUAGCUUUUCAAAAGGUUUGCGAAGAGGCAGAGAGCGCUCAAUGACAAGUUUUCCAAAGUCCGUGUUCCCAGAGAAGGGAAGGGGGAGGUCGUGUCCCCCUUUGCAAUGGGGAUAGUUUAGCUCUUGUUUUGUAUUUUCUUUGCCCUGAUGCCAUGCUCCCAUGAGAGACCAGGCCCCAUUGGUACCUGCACCCCUUGGGACCUGCACCCUUGGUACCUGCACCUGCGUGGGUGCAGUCAGUGAACCUUCCAUGAGGCAGGGGACGUUUCGAUUCUCAUGGACAUGUGCAGAUGUUUCUGGAUGUCCGGGAACCUCCUGGGUCAGGUGUCCAGGUUAGAGGAUUAAUCCUUCCUAUUUUGUUUCCUUGUGAUGUUUCAGGCUCUUGAUUUCUCUUGAUUAAUGAAACCUGGGGUCUAGAAGGGAUAUGAGUAUUUACUGAAACUUGACAGCGGGGGUCGAGGGUCUUAAUGUGAACGUGUGGUAGGCAUUGUAGGUUCAGGGGCAAUGGCAGCCUCUGGGGCAUGACAGAUAUUAGAUCCCAGGGAAGAAAUGGGUCAUGUCUGGUUCUCAGGCUUCCAAUACAAAGAAGCUAAAAGAGUUUGUCUAUCAUACAGAGCAAUGGCCUCCUAGGAAUCGUUAGGAAUCCUCAUUUUGUGUAUUGGAAAGUGGUUGGAAUUGUAUCCAAGCCUUUCCAUCUAAGCUUUCUGCACUCUUCUGCUGACCAUACUCUGAACAUGGCGGGAAGACGCGCGGCGUGUGGGUGCUGUCAAUGAACCUUCCAUGAGGCAGGGGACGUUUAGAUUCUCACGGACAUGAGCUGAUGAGCUGGAUGUCCGGGAGUCUCCUGGGUCAGGUGUCCAGGGUGGAGGAUUCAUCCUUGGGCCUUUGUUUCUAUACGCCAUUUCGGGCCAUUCAUUUCUCCCAAUUAGUGAAACCUAGGGUCCAGAAGGGAUAUAUGAGUAAACUCUGGGAGUGUAAAGAGACUUGCAAGGCGGUGGGUAGUGUGUCUUAGUGUGAAAGUGUGGUAGGCAUUGUGGGUUCAGGGGCAAUGGCAGCAUCUGGCGACUGGGCAGAUAUUAGUUCCCCGGGAAGAAAUGGGUCAUGUCUGGUUCUCAGGCUUCCAAUACAAAGAAGCUAAAAGAGUUUGUCUAUCAUACAGAGCAAUGGCCUCCUAGGAAUCGUUACGAAUCCUCAUUUUGUGGAUGGCAAUGUGGUUGGAAUUGUAUCCACGCAUUUCCAUCUAAGCUUUCUGCACUCUUCUGCUGACCAUACUCUGCACAUGGCGGCAAGAGGAGCGGCGUGUGGGUGCUGUCAAUGAAGCUUCCAUGAGGCAGGGGACCUUUAGAAUAUCAAGGACAUUUGCUAAUGUGCCUUUGUGGUUAUCAGCGUCCAUUUUCAGGCUCUUGAUUUCACUUGAUUAGUGAAAUCUGGGGCCCACAAAGGCUCUGAGGACACCCUGGGAAGAGAAGGAAUCUUGACCUUGGGUGGGCCGAGGGACUUGGAGUGAAAGUUGUGGUAGGCAUUGUGGGUUCAGGGGUGUGUCCCCUGCCUUUGUCCCUUCUCACGCACUACCCUGGGGUCAGCAUAACUGGGGGCGAGAAGACAAUGGACAUUGGUGGAUGUGAUAUGAGACGCUAUGCCUGCCUUGUUGAGUUGACACGUUCAUUAGGAGAACAGGGUGUUGUUUUCCACGUUCCCCGUGGAGUGUGGGUUUGCCAGCAGGCACGGCUCUGCUGUUUCAUCCUUACUCUGUGGUACCAUGGGCCUGUGAGGGAAGGCCACGGGGUAGGGUGGGUCGUCCUUCCCCCUGCUGUCUUGUUGCAGGUGACAAUCACCUGAGGCCCUUCUGAGAAGGAGCUGCCGUUGCUUAUGCCUCUUUGAUCCUCCAGGGACAUUUUCUUCCCUUGUCCCGGAUGUGUGUUGGCUCUUGGGCACUGCUUGUGGUGUUUGCUUCCCCCUCCAUGUGUCAGGAGGCUGGGUUUUAAAACUGGCAAGAGGCUUGUUUAGCUUUUCAAAAGGUUUGCGAAGAGGCAGAGAGCGCUCAAUGACAAGUUUUCCAAAGUCCGUGUUCCCAGAGAAGGGAAGGGGGAGGUCGUGUCCCCCUUUGCAAUGGGGAUAGUUUAGCUCUUGUUUUGUAUUUUCUUUGCCCUGAUGCCAUGCUCCCAUGAGAGACCAGGCCCCAUUGGUACCUGCACCCCUUGGGACCUGCACCCUUGGUACCUGCACCUGCGUGGGUGCAGUCAGUGAACCUUCCAUGAGGCAGGGGACGUUUCGAUUCUCAUGGACAUGUGCAGAUGUUUCUGGAUGUCCGGGAACCUCCUGGGUCAGGUGUCCAGGUUAGAGGAUUAAUCCUUCCUAUUUUGUUUCCUUGUGAUGUUUCAGGCUCUUGAUUUCUCUUGAUUAAUGAAACCUGGGGUCUAGAAGGGAUAUGAGUAUUUACUGAAACUUGACAGCGGGGGUCGAGGGUCUUAAUGUGAACGUGUGGUAGGCAUUGUAGGUUCAGGGGCAAUGGCAGCCUCUGGGGCAUGACAGAUAUUAGAUCCCAGGGAAGAAAUGGGUCAUGUCUGGUUCUCAGGCUUCCAAUACAAAGAAGCUAAAAGAGUUUGUCUAUCAUACAGAGCAAUGGCCUCCUAGGAAUCGUUAGGAAUCCUCAUUUUGUGUAUUGGAAAGUGGUUGGAAUUGUAUCCAAGCCUUUCCAUCUAAGCUUUCUGCACUCUUCUGCUGACCAUACUCUGAACAUGGCGGGAAGAUGCGCGGCGUGUGGGUGCUGUCAAUGAACCUUCCAUGAGGCAGGGGACGUUUAGAUUCUCACGGACAUGAGCUGAUGAGCUGGAUGUCCGGGAGUCUCCUGGGUCAGGUGUCCAGGGUGGAGGAUUCAUCGUUGGGCCUUUGUUUCUAUACGCCAUUUCGGGCCAUUCAUUUCUCCCAAUUAGUGAAACCUAGGGUCCAGAAGGGAUAUAUGAGUAAACUCUGGGAGUGUAAAGAGACUUGCAAGGGGGUGGGUAGUGUGUCUUAGUGUGAAAGUGUGGUAGGCAUUGUGGGUUCAGGGGCAAUGGCAGCAUCUGGCGACUGGGCAGAUAUUAGUUCCCCGGGAAGAAAUGGGUCAUGUCUGGUUCUCAGGCUUCCAAUACAAAGAAGCUAAAAGAGUUUGUCUAUCAUACAGAGCAAUGGCCUCCUAGGAAUCGUUACGAAUCCUCAUUUUGUGGAUGGCAAUGUGGUUGGAAUUGUAUCCACGCAUUUCCAUCUAAGCUUUCUGCACUCUUCUGCUGACCAUACUCUGCACAUGGCGGCAAGAGGAGCGGCGUGUGGGUGCUGUCAAUGAAGCUUCCAUGAGGCAGGGGACCUUUAGAAUAUCAAGGACAUUUGCUAAUGUGCCUUUGUGGUUAUCAGCCUCCAUUUUCAGGCUCUUGAUUUCACUUGAUUAGUGAAAUCUGGGGCCCACAAAGGCUCUGAGGACACCCUGGGAAGAGAAGGAAUCUUGACCUUGGGUGGGCCGAGGGACUUGGAGUGAAAGUUGUGGUAGGCAUUGUGGGUUCAGGGGUGUGUCCCCUGCCUUUGUCCCUUCUCACGCACUACCCUGGGGUCAGCAUAACUGGGGGCGAGAAGACAAUGGACAUUGGUGGAUGUGAUAUGAGACGCUAUGCCUGUCUUGUUGAGUUGACACGUUCAUUAGGAGAACAGGGUGUUGUUUUCCACGUUCCCCGUGGAGUGUGGGUUUGCCAGCAGGCACGGCUCUGCUGUUUCAUCCUUACUCUGUGGUACCAUGGGCCUGUGAGGGAAGGAAGGCCACGGGGUAGGGUGGGUCGUCCUUCCCCCUGCUGUCUUGUUGCAGGUGACAAUCACCUGAGGCCCUUCUGAGAAGGAGCUGCCGUUGCUUAUGCCUCUUUGAUCCUCCAGGGACAUUUUCUUCCCUUGUCCCGGAUGUGUGUUGGCUCUUGGGCACUGCUUGUGGUGUUUGCUUCCCCCUCCAUGUGUCAGGAGGCUGGGUUUUAAAACUGGCAAGAGGCUUGUUUAGCUUUUCAAAAGGUUUGCGAAGAGGCAGAGAGCGCUCAAUGACAAGUUUUCCAAAGUCCGUGUUCCCAGAGAAGGGAAGGGGGAGGUCGUGUCCCCCUUUGCAAUGGGGAUAGUUUAGCUCUUGUUUUGUAUUUUCUUUGCCCUGAUGCCAUGCUCCCAUGAGAGACCAGGCCCCAUUGGUACCUGCACCCCUUGGGACCUGCACCCUUGGUACCUGCACCUGCGUGGGUGCAGUCAGUGAACCUUCCAUGAGGCAGGGGACGUUUCGAUUCUCAUGGACAUGUGCAGAUGUUUCUGGAUGUCCGGGAACCUCCUGGGUCAGGUGUCCAGGUUAGAGGAUUAAUCCUUCCUAUUUUGUUUCCUUGUGAUGUUUCAGGCUCUUGAUUUCUCUUGAUUAAUGAAACCUGGGGUCUAGAAGGGAUAUGAGUAUUUACUGAAACUUGACAGCGGGGGUCGAGGGUCUUAAUGUGAACGUGUGGUAGGCAUUGUAGGUUCAGGGGCAAUGGCAGCCUCUGGGGCAUGACAGAUAUUAGAUCCCAGGGAAGAAAUGGGUCAUGUCUGGUUCUCAGGCUUCCAAUACAAAGAAGCUAAAAGAGUUUGUCUAUCAUACAGAGCAAUGGCCUCCUAGGAAUCGUUAGGAAUCCUCAUUUUGUGUAUUGGAAAGUGGUUGGAAUUGUAUCCAAGCCUUUCCAUCUAAGCUUUCUGCACUCUUCUGCUGACCAUACUCUGAACAUGGCGGGAAGACGCGCGGCGUGUGGGUGCUGUCAAUGAACCUUCCAUGAGGCAGGGGACGUUUAGAUUCUCACGGACAUGAGCUGAUGAGCUGGAUGUCCGGGAGUCUCCUGGGUCAGGUGUCCAGGGUGGAGGAUUCAUCCUUGGGCCUUUGUUUCUAUACGCCAUUUCGGGCCAUUCAUUUCUCCCAAUUAGUGAAACCUAGGGUCCAGAAGGGAUAUAUGAGUAAACUCUGGGAGUGUAAAGAGACUUGCAAGGCGGUGGGUAGUGUGUCUUAGUGUGAAAGUGUGGUAGGCAUUGUGGGUUCAGGGGCAAUGGCAGCAUCUGGCGACUGGGCAGAUAUUAGUUCCCCGGGAAGAAAUGGGUCAUGUCUGGUUCUCAGGCUUCCAAUACAAAGAAGCUAAAAGAGUUUGUCUAUCAUACAGAGCAAUGGCCUCCUAGGAAUCGUUACGAAUCCUCAUUUUGUGGAUGGCAAUGUGGUUGGAAUUGUAUCCACGCAUUUCCAUCUAAGCUUUCUGCACUCUUCUGCUGACCAUACUCUGCACAUGGCGGCAAGAGGAGCGGCGUGUGGGUGCUGUCAAUGAAGCUUCCAUGAGGCAGGGGACCUUUAGAAUAUCAAGGACAUUUGCUAAUGUGCCUUUGUGGUUAUCAGCGUCCAUUUUCAGGCUCUUGAUUUCACUUGAUUAGUGAAAUCUGGGGCCCACAAAGGCUCUGAGGACACCCUGGGAAGAGAAGGAAUCUUGACCUUGGGUGGGCCGAGGGACUUGGAGUGAAAGUUGUGGUAGGCAUUGUGGGUUCAGGGGUGUGUCCCCUGCCUUUGUCCCUUCUCACGCACUACCCUGGGGUCAGCAUAACUGGGGGCGAGAAGACAAUGGACAUUGGUGGAUGUGAUAUGAGACGCUAUGCCUGCCUUGUUGAGUUGACACGUUCAUUAGGAGAACAGGGUGUUGUUUUCCACGUUCCCCGUGGAGUGUGGGUUUGCCAGCAGGCACGGCUCUGCUGUUUCAUCCUUACUCUGUGGUACCAUGGGCCUGUGAGGGAAGGCCACGGGGUAGGGUGGGUCGUCCUUCCCCCUGCUGUCUUGUUGCAGGUGACAAUCACCUGAGGCCCUUCUGAGAAGGAGCUGCCGUUGCUUAUGCCUCUUUGAUCCUCCAGGGACAUUUUCUUCCCUUGUCCCGGAUGUGUGUUGGCUCUUGGGCACUGCUUGUGGUGUUUGCUUCCCCCUCCAUGUGUCAGGAGGCUGGGUUUUAAAACUGGCAAGAGGCUUGUUUAGCUUUUCAAAAGGUUUGCGAAGAGGCAGAGAGCGCUCAAUGACAAGUUUUCCAAAGUCCGUGUUCCCAGAGAAGGGAAGGGGGAGGUCGUGUCCCCCUUUGCAAUGGGGAUAGUUUAGCUCUUGUUUUGUAUUUUCUUUGCCCUGAUGCCAUGCUCCCAUGAGAGACCAGGCCCCAUUGGUACCUGCACCCCUUGGGACCUGCACCCUUGGUACCUGCACCUGCGUGGGUGCAGUCAGUGAACCUUCCAUGAGGCAGGGGACGUUUCGAUUCUCAUGGACAUGUGCAGAUGUUUCUGGAUGUCCGGGAACCUCCUGGGUCAGGUGUCCAGGUUAGAGGAUUAAUCCUUCCUAUUUUGUUUCCUUGUGAUGUUUCAGGCUCUUGAUUUCUCUUGAUUAAUGAAACCUGGGGUCUAGAAGGGAUAUGAGUAUUUACUGAAACUUGACAGCGGGGGUCGAGGGUCUUAAUGUGAACGUGUGGUAGGCAUUGUAGGUUCAGGGGCAAUGGCAGCCUCUGGGGCAUGACAGAUAUUAGAUCCCAGGGAAGAAAUGGGUCAUGUCUGGUUCUCAGGCUUCCAAUACAAAGAAGCUAAAAGAGUUUGUCUAUCAUACAGAGCAAUGGCCUCCUAGGAAUCGUUAGGAAUCCUCAUUUUGUGUAUUGGAAAGUGGUUGGAAUUGUAUCCAAGCCUUUCCAUCUAAGCUUUCUGCACUCUUCUGCUGACCAUACUCUGAACAUGGCGGGAAGAUGCGCGGCGUGUGGGUGCUGUCAAUGAACCUUCCAUGAGGCAGGGGACGUUUAGAUUCUCACGGACAUGAGCUGAUGAGCUGGAUGUCCGGGAGUCUCCUGGGUCAGGUGUCCAGGGUGGAGGAUUCAUCGUUGGGCCUUUGUUUCUAUACGCCAUUUCGGGCCAUUCAUUUCUCCCAAUUAGUGAAACCUAGGGUCCAGAAGGGAUAUAUGAGUAAACUCUGGGAGUGUAAAGAGACUUGCAAGGGGGUGGGUAGUGUGUCUUAGUGUGAAAGUGUGGUAGGCAUUGUGGGUUCAGGGGCAAUGGCAGCAUCUGGCGACUGGGCAGAUAUUAGUUCCCCGGGAAGAAAUGGGUCAUGUCUGGUUCUCAGGCUUCCAAUACAAAGAAGCUAAAAGAGUUUGUCUAUCAUACAGAGCAAUGGCCUCCUAGGAAUCGUUACGAAUCCUCAUUUUGUGGAUGGCAAUGUGGUUGGAAUUGUAUCCACGCAUUUCCAUCUAAGCUUUCUGCACUCUUCUGCUGACCAUACUCUGCACAUGGCGGCAAGAGGAGCGGCGUGUGGGUGCUGUCAAUGAAGCUUCCAUGAGGCAGGGGACCUUUAGAAUAUCAAGGACAUUUGCUAAUGUGCCUUUGUGGUUAUCAGCCUCCAUUUUCAGGCUCUUGAUUUCACUUGAUUAGUGAAAUCUGGGGCCCACAAAGGCUCUGAGGACACCCUGGGAAGAGAAGGAAUCUUGACCUUGGGUGGGCCGAGGGACUUGGAGUGAAAGUUGUGGUAGGCAUUGUGGGUUCAGGGGUGUGUCCCCUGCCUUUGUCCCUUCUCACGCACUACCCUGGGGUCAGCAUAACUGGGGGCGAGAAGACAAUGGACAUUGGUGGAUGUGAUAUGAGACGCUAUGCCUGUCUUGUUGAGUUGACACGUUCAUUAGGAGAACAGGGUGUUGUUUUCCACGUUCCCCGUGGAGUGUGGGUUUGCCAGCAGGCACGGCUCUGCUGUUUCAUCCUUACUCUGUGGUACCAUGGGCCUGUGAGGGAAGGAAGGCCACGGGGUAGGGUGGGUCGUCCUUCCCCCUGCUGUCUUGUUGCAGGUGACAAUCACCUGAGGCCCUUCUGAGAAGGAGCUGCCGUUGCUUAUGCCUCUUUGAUCCUCCAGGGACAUUUUCUUCCCUUGUCCCGGAUGUGUGUUGGCUCUUGGGCACUGCUUGUGGUGUUUGCUUCCCCCUCCAUGUGUCAGGAGGCUGGGUUUUAAAACUGGCAAGAGGCUUGUUUAGCUUUUCAAAAGGUUUGCGAAGAGGCAGAGAGCGCUCAAUGACAAGUUUUCCAAAGUCCGUGUUCCCAGAGAAGGGAAGGGGGAGGUCGUGUCCCCCUUUGCAAUGGGGAUAGUUUAGCUCUUGUUUUGUAUUUUCUUUGCCCUGAUGCCAUGCUCCCAUGAGAGACCAGGCCCCAUUGGUACCUGCACCCC